UUAAUAGAUUUUUUUUUUUUGGCUCAGGAUGAACGCGGGGGGCGUCCUUAAUACAUGCAAGUCGAGCGAAUGGAUUAAGAGCUUGCUCUUAUGAAGUUAGCGGCGGACGGGUGAGUAACACGUGGGUAACCUGCCCAUAAGAACGGGAUAAAUCCGGGAAACCGGGGGUAAUACCGGAUAACAUUUUUAACCGCCUGGUUGGAAACUGAAAGGCGGGUUCGGUUGUCCAUUAAGGAAGGACCCGCGUCGCCUUAGGUAGUUGGUGAGGUAACGGCUCACCAAGGCAACGGUGGGUUGCCGACCUGAGAGGGUGAUUGGCCCCCCUGGGAAUGAGACCCGGCCCCGAAUCCUACGGGAGGCAGCCGUAGGGAAUUUUUCGCAAAGGAAGAAAGUUUGACGGAGCAACGCCGCCUGAAUGAUGAAGGCUUUCGGGUUGUAAAACUUUGUUGUUCGGGAAGAACAACUGUUAGGUGAAUAAGCUGGCACAGGUGACGGUACC
rnacentral:rRNA from 1 species